UGAGCAAUCUGCCCUUCUCUUCGGAAUAAGCGAGGGAAACCGCGUCUAAUGCCGAAUACGACCUCCUUUCGCAUGAUCGGAGGUGGAAAGCUCCGGCGGAGAAGGAUGAGCUCGCGGCCUAUCAGCUAGUUGGUGUGGGUAAUGGCCCACCAAGGCGACGACGGGUAGCCGGCCUGAGGAGGGUCGACCCGGCCACACGUGGGACUGAGACACCGGCCCAGACCUCCGUACGGGAGNAGCG
rnacentral:rRNA from 1 species